UCAGCAGCUAACAGAAACAGACGGAAAUGGGGGUAACACUGUACACUAGUGUCUACAAUAGUCGUCGAGUGCAUCAAUAAUUACCCUUCAAAGAUUACUAUUACCGAAUAAACUAACCGGAGUGCGCGGGAGUUAAAUUAAGUGUUAUUCCUCUGACCGUUGAAAUAAAAACUGAACUAAAAAAAUAUUCACUCGUGAGUAAAAGGUGUAUCUGCCGUCCGAGGUGUCUGGCGUAGCUGUAGUGGUGCAUUACGACGGCCGUGACAGCCAAAGACUGAGUGCUCGGUGAGCUCCAGCCUUGAGGUGAGACUAAUAAUCCGGGCCGAGGCUCGGAGUGCUCCUGGACCCGGACCGGGAAAUAAAAAGCUUCCCUUAAGAAUAUCCUCGGGAGUUACCUCUUAAAACUUGCCACUGAAGGCGGCAGGGACGCCAUUUUGAUAUCCACGGUUUAGCUUCGUCGUCUAACUAGAGGCACUGGUGGCUCCUGAGCUGCUGAUCCCUCGAGGGGGGGAUUCACUGGCCACUCUCCACAUGGUCUUGGUUUGCUGGGCUGAUAACUCGAGCGAGGAGCUAAUGACUAAAUUCAAGUACAAACUUUGGAUAAAUAAAGCCAGUUUUUAAAUAUUAACAUGGCUAAGAUCCUUAAUAAGGACCCGGUCACCUACGAGAGGGAAAGACUCACUUUUUUGAAGGAGCUUCAUCAUUUUCAUGAGACUAGAGGGACCGGAUUUAAAAAAUAUCCAAAAAUUAGCGGAAAUGAAAUAGAUCUAUAUUUACUUUAUCUACUUGUUACUGCACAUGGUGGAUGGAUCAAGGUAAAUACCAGAAACGAGUGGUCAUCAUUAUGCGAACAAUUUCACUUACCAUCAGGCUGCGUAAACAGCGGCGUGGGCUUGAAGCAAAUUUACUUACGGUAUCUCGACAGGUACGAGAAGGUCCACUUUCUUGGCGAGGACGGACAGCAGGCUGAUGAUGAUGAUGAGGACUCCAGGCAUCGCAAGUGGUCAGCCAGGUCGCUUCAUUCUGUUCCUCUUACUUACAAUUAUCAUCAACACAAUGUCGCUGAAUCACUCCGCGAGUACAACGGACUGUCAUCGAAUCUCUACAAGCCCUCAAACUACGACAAGUUAGCACUGUCCUUGCUCUCACCGCUGCCCAAUGAGCAGGACUUUGCUAUAAAUGUCUGCACCCUUUUAUCUAACGAAGGCAAGCACACGCUGAGAUUAGACAAGUAUCCCCGGCUUAUCAACAUCUUGCUUGCCCAUGCUGGGGUUUUUGACUCUCCAGGGACGAGGCACCUAUUUAUUGAAGUUUACUCCAGAGUGAGGAACUACUCUAUAAACUCAUUUUGGUCUGAUGUUCUUGACUCGCCCCAGGUGCUAGAUCUCACUGAUGAAAGGACUUUUAUGAAGAAACCCACGCCGACUAUUCUAAAUACUUUCUCGAGGAGGAAAAUCUUAGAUAAAAAUAGUAAGAAAGCUGCGGGGGAGAGUAAAGAGAAAAUUUCUGAAGAUAAGGAGCAGGAUAAAGAGCAGCAAGAAAAGCUAGUAAACGGCGAAGCAAUGGAAGUAGAUCCCCUGCCUCUAGAAUGUUCCCGCUUAGCCUCAACUCUAAGCAUCUCCUCGCUCUCAACGUACCUAGACGAAGGUUGUUUCGACCAGAACGCAAACUCAAUAAUAAAAUUCGAGGAAGAGGACCGCGAUUUGUUCUGCAUGGGUCGUACCUUGGGCACGCAGGACCCUUAUGGCCAGCGAGUUCUGCAAAUCGCUUCAAUCCUUAGGAACUUAAGCUUCACUCCAGAGAAUGCAGCGGUUCUUGGAAAGAACCGCUGCUUUUUACGGUUCGUGUUGCUUUGCGUCCGCGCGAGAUGGAGCAAUUUACACCAACUUGGCUUCGACAUCCUGGGGAACAUCGCGAACGAGAUCGAGCUUAAAGAAAUCGGAGAAAGACUAGCUGAGGGGAUAAUAAAUUGCAUCGUCCACGGGAUCGACUCCACGGAUCGGUUCGUGGUGAUGUCUUGCUUGGAAGUCCUUAAUAAGAUCAGCCAACAAGACUGCAAUGAGGAGCUGGUGAUUUUCGGGCUGGAUGAUCAAGUCUUUGAAUUAAUCUGCAGGUUCCUGGCACUCAGCGACAUAGCGCUGCUUGUCUACACCCUGGAGUGCUUGUACGCGCUGACGAGUCUCGGAGAGAGACCUUGCACCAGCUUGGCGAGGGUCCGGGGUGCCAUUGACACCCUGGUGGCCUUGGUCACAGUUGAAGCUCAGAGCUAUGGACCCAAGGCGUGUAUCUUAAUGCGCGUCGUGGAAACUGUCAGCACUCUAGCGACCUCUACCGUCAGCCAGAGCACCACUACCACCACUACUACUUCUGUUCCUACUCCCGUUGCUACCACACCAGCUGUCGUCACCACAGCUAGCAUCCCAGCUCCAGUUGCUGCUCCUGUAGUUAGUCCUGUAACCUCCAGGCCGACUACUCCAGCGACCCCUGCUGUCAAGGCUGCUGCUAAUAAAGCCAUCGAGGCUGCUAAUUCUCUCCAGCAGCAGCAUGCUCAUCAGCAAAUUAUCCAAGAGAAUGAACAGUUUGCUCUCGGGUGGCUCAGAGCCACUUUUGAACUUGCGCCUGGGGUUAAGAUUGAACAGGAAGAACUUUAUAAAAAAUAUUUGAGCUCUUGUACUAAAAUUGGACGACGGGGAGUCAUUGCUCCGCUUCAUUUUCCUAGAUGUGUUAGAUCGGUAUUUGGCGGAACAAUAGGCCCAAACCCACAAAAAGGAGAAACAACAGGAACGCAGUACUACGAAGGGAUCAGAGUCCGCGCAACUCCAGCACCAAUCACAUAUCCAAGCCAGCCAUCAUCUCCAGCAGUGGUAACAUCAGUUUCAUCAACUCCAACACCCGCAAAGGUGCUACAACUGGUACAACAGCGUACAGUCACUAAAAGUCCUGCACCCGACAGCACGGCCCUUGAUAACAAUGCAUCCAAGACAAUUACCAACUCCACCGCCACAGCCCAGACACCCGCGUCUCCUAUACUAAAGGCCCACUUGUCAGCCCCACCGAAACCGACACCCUCAAACGCUACUCUGAACCAACCCCAGAUCAUUACCAAGGUUGACUCUAAAAGUCAGGUGUCCGUGACGCAUCCUCAUCUAAGCCAGGCGCUGCUCGCCAGCGGUUCCGCGCAGAACCAACCCCCACUCCAAGGAACAGUUCAGGCGCAGGCGCAGACGCAAACUCAGACCCAGAUGGUUCAAGUGGUGACCAAAGAUGGCGGUACCACUUCAAGUUCGAUAAUAAAAAGCCUAUUGGCUACAAAGGUCGCGCAAAGACAACAACAGCAAAGACUGCUUCAGCAACAGAUGGCGACACCUACUACUUCUACCGCAACUACGCCCUCUACGGUGGUUCUUAAAGCUCCUGCAAAACAAAGAGGGAACAAGAAAGUACAGCGGCUCAAUGGCGCUAAAGUUGUUGCUAAUAAUUGUGAAAAGAUGGAAGUUAACGACGAAACAGUAACCAGCAGCACACCCUCAGUGAUAGUCUCCACCGAAAACCACAUUGGUCAAAAAGUAAUCCGCCCACCAGUAACCCCAAAAUUCAUCACCCAAAAACCCUACACUCCUCCAGUAACCGAGGAUUCAGACUCCACAAACAAUUCCCUAGCCUCUAGCAGUGGAAUCGGCCGUGAUUGUUCCGGGGUCGCUGAAGAAGAGAACUCCAUCACCAGUUUCGAAGGAAUCCUCCAGAACGGCGCAACCCCAGACCUGGACCAGGACAGCAGUUCCAAGGAAUCAAGCGUGAGUUCCCGAGGGAAGCAGAACUUGAUGCUCGCGGAUCUCCUAGAGCGUAAAGUAGACAGGGAACUUGUCAACGGAGUCCUAAAAAACAUGGAGAACCACGUUAAGAAGGAAGUGAAACUCGAAUGCGGAAUGUCUAUCAACGACGACGCGAUGAUAGAAGCGCCUAUCAAAAGGUCGAGUGAUUCCGAGGAGAAUUCUGUAAAGAAGGUCAAGUACUCCAACGGAACCAGUUCCUGGAACGAGAAUGAUUCAGUUAAUGUUGAGUCAACAGUCUCUUCUAUAAAAUCUGAGGAAGAUCAGGAGGAGAAGGUCACAGUUUCUUCAACAGCAGCUAACCUUUACGCGGCGCUAGCGGCGGAUAUUAUCGAAGAUGAGAACGAUCUAGAGGAACCGGUUAAAGAGGAACCCAAGUUCUCGGAACAAGUCGUCCAGCAGAUCGUCCAGGUUCCUCAGCAAGUUCCUCAGCAGCUGAUCGUCGCUGCUCCAAGGCAAAUUGUUGUUCAGAACAACCAGGUGCUGAUCCCGGGACAGAUGAAGGCCAGGACGACCCAGCCGCAGGUGCUGCUCCAGCAAGGAGCGGGUGGACAGCUCCAGUAUGUCGUCUCAGGAGGCGUUCCAGGUCAAAAUUACGUCUUGGCCCAAUCUCAGACCGCUUUGGUACAAGGUCAGGCGCAAACCGUCCUAGUGGCUCAAACUACCCAACAACAAGGAACUGGAGCUAAAACCAUAAUUAUCCUUCAACCUCAAGCCGCUCAGGGUCAAGGUCACCAGAAGGUCGUCGCAGUUACACCCCAGGGUCAGCAGGUCGUGGUCACACAAAUGCCUCGGCCGAUAAUGCAGAACCCCUCGGUCGGUAACUUACCAGCAAUCGGUAACAUUCCACCUUUGGUACCAACCUCUUCUGCGGUCCAGAAUUCUAUUAUCGUCAACACGUCGAUUGUUACUCAAAGCAAUCCUAAUACUGUUACGGUGACGAUUCCUGCGAUGACUCAACAGUGUCCGGUUACUAGCAGUCUACCGUCCAGAGUGGUCACGCCCACUCCUGCGUCGACUCCGCCCCCAACUAGGCCCACCACGCCCCACCAGGCUGCCGCGACCAAUGUUAAGCUUCACAAUAAACUUCAGAAGGUGACGACUUCGACUUCAACGUCGACGGAGGACAAGCCGAGUACAAGUCAGGCGCAGAGUGAGAAAGUUGUUAUUAAAUUGGAUCCUAAUGCGUUUUUGUGCGAGUGGAGGGGGUGUCUAAAGCAAUUCAAGACUGCGCAUGAGGUUUAUAUGCAUGGGUGUGAAGCACACUGUCCUAAUGAUGCGGAAGAGGUCGUUUGUUUGUGGGCUAGUUGUGAUGGGCUUAAAAGGAGACGGUUUUCCUUGAUGACGCAUUUGUAUGACAAGCAUUGUAAUCCUGAGAAAAUGGCGUUCCUGAGAAGAAAAAACCUAGCGACCAAUGGGAAAGAAGUAUCGACAUCAACCCCAGCGCCCUCAGCGGCGGCGUCAGCCGCCGCUACAGCUUCGCACCCUGGUUACGCGCCGAACGCGGCGCUCCACGCAAUCAAAAGGCACGCUCUUGAGUUUAUCAACCCCAAGGAAUUGAUGGAUGACAAUGAAGGUCCAGUUACUAAAAGUAUUCGCCUAACGGCAGCUCUAAUUCUCAGAAACCUAGUCAUAUAUUCAGCCCAUGGUCGAAGGCAUCUCAGAGCUUACGAGCCUCACUUGGCAGGCGUGGCGCUAUCUAACGUCGAAUCAUCCCGAACAAUAGCCCAAGUUCUCUACGACAUGAACGAACAAAGCACCGGGAGUAGCAGGUGACCUUAUUACUGUACUAAUUAAAAAAAUUUCCAAUUAAAGUACACUGAGCAGCGAUCAAUAAUUACAAAAUUGGAUAAUUAUAAUUAUUUAAUUAAUUAAAGUACCCAGGGGCUUUUAAAUGUAUAAAUAAUUAUUAAAGAUCAAUGUCGUAGACAAUUAAGUAUUAAUAAUUAAUUAAUUAUACAAAAUAAUUACAAUGAGGCCUAUUAACUUAUUAGGCGUUGCGCCGGUUAAUUUUUGUUAGUGUCAUAAUUUUUUAUAAAAUUUUUUUUCUUAUUAAAAUAAUUGAUCAUAUCACACAGAACAAUUUUAUUUAAUAUUGUUUGCGUUUUGUAUUGAAAUUAUUUAUAAGUCGAUUUGUUUGUAGUUAAAAAUUUAUUAAUAAUUUUUAUUUGAGUAUUAAAAAUAAAAAAUCUCUGUUUAAAAAUUAA
rnacentral:misc_RNA from 1 species